rnacentral:rRNA from 1 species
AUGAACGCUAGCGGCAGGCCUAACACAUGCAAGUCGAGGGGCAUCAUGGCGUAGCAAUACGCUGAUGGCGACCGGCGCACGGGUGCGUAACGCGUAUGGAACCUACCCACCGCAGGGGGAUAACCCGCCGAAAGGCGGACUAAUACCCCAUGGUUCCCCGACCCUGCCUGGGGUUGGGGGUAAAGCCUACGGGCGGCGGUGGAUGGCCCUGCGUGCCAUUAGCUGGCUGGUGGGGUAACGGCCCACCAAGGCGAUGAUAGAUAGGCGGCCUUAACGGGUGGUCGCCCACACUGGGAUUGAGAUACGGCCCAGACUCCUACGGGAGGCAGCAGUCGAGAAUAGUCUACAAUGGCCGAAAGGCUGAUAGUGCGACGCCGCGUGAACGAAGAAGCCCUUCGGGGUGUAAAGUUCUUUUAUAUGUGAGCAGUGCUUUCUAUGUGAACAGCAUGGGGAGAGAGAUAUUAGCAUAUGAAUAAGCAACGGCUAACUCCGUG